rnacentral:rRNA from 1 species
CCUACGGGAGUCAGCAGUGAGGAAUAUUGGUCAAUGGACGGAAGUCUGAACCAGCCAUGCCGCGUGCAGUCAGACGGCUCUAUGAGUUGUAAACUGCUUUUGUACAAGGGUAAACCUGAAUACGUGUAUUCAGCUGAAAGUACUGUACGAAUUAGUAUCGGCUAACUCCGUGCCAGGAGCCGCGGUAAUACGGAGGAUCCAAUCGUUAGCCGGAUUUAUUGGGGUUAAAGGUGGCGUAGGCGGAUUGAUAAGUUAGAGGUGAACUGUCCGAGCUUAACUCGGGAACUGCCUCUAAUACGGUUGAUCUAGAGAGUAGAUGCGGUAGGCGGAAUGUAUGGUGUAGCGGUGAAAUGCUUAGAGAUCAUACAGAACACCGAUUGCGAAGGCAGCUUACCAAUCUAUAUCUGACGUUGAGGCACGAAAGCGUGGGGAGCAAACAGGAUUAGAUACCCGGGUAGUC